rnacentral:rRNA from 1 species
UCUCUGCGUGGUAGGGGAGCGUUCUGUAAGUCUGCGAAGGAGUCUUGAGAAGGAUUCUGGAGAUAUCAGAAGUGCGAAUGCUGACAUGAGUAACGUUAAAGCGGGUGAAAAGCCCGCUCGCCGUAAGCCCAAGGUUUCCUGCUCUACGUUCAUCGGAGCAGGGUGAGUCGGCCCCUAAGGCGAGGCCAAAAGGCGUAGUCGAUGGGAAUCGGGUUAAUAUUCCCGAACCGCCGCCGAAUGCGAUGGGGUGACGGAGUUUAGAAGGUCAGCCGGGUGUUGGAUGUCCCGGUGGGUGAGUGUAGGAGGUCUGCAGGCAAAUCCGCAGACGCAUCUCCGAGGCAAAGCCGCGAUCUGCUAAGGCAGAGAAGUGAUUGGACGAACUUCCAAGAAAACCCUCUAAGCGUCAGUUCGGCGGGACCGUACCGCAAACCGACACUGGUGGGCGAGCUGAAUAUGCUCAGGCGCUUGAGAGAACUCGGGAGAAGGAACUCGGCAAAUUGACACCGUAACUUCGGAAGAAGGUGUGCCUGAGUAACGUAGGCGCAGAGACUGCGUUCGCGUGAAAAGGUCUCAGAGAAUAGGUGGCUGCGACUGUUUAUUAAAAACACAGCACUCUGCCAAGUCGAAAGACGACGUAUAGGGUGUGAUGCCUGCCCGGUGCUGGAAGAUUAAUUGAUGGGCUGAGAGGCCUUGAUCGAAGUCCCAGUAAACGGCGGCCGUAACUAUAACGGUCCUAAGGUAGCGAAAUUCCUUGUCGGGUAAGUUCCGACCUGCACGAAUGGCAUAACGAUGGCCACACUGUCUCCUCCCGAGACUCAGUGAAGUUGAAAUGUUUGUGAUGAUGCAAUCUACCCGCGGCUAGACGGAAAGACCCCAUGAACCUUUACUGCAGCUUUGCAUUGAACUGUGAACCGAUUUGUGUAGGAUAGGUGGGAGGCAGAGAAACGUGUACGCCAGUACGCGCGGAGCCAACCUUGAAAUACCACCCUGAUUUGUUUGCGGUUCUAACCCGGGACAGUGAUCCUGUUCGGGGACCGUGCAUGGUAGGCAGUUUGACUGGGGCGGUCUCCUCCUAAAGGGUAACGGAGGAGUACGAAGGUACGCUAGGUACGGUCGGAAAUCGUGCUGAUAGUGCAAUGGCAAAAGCGUGCUUGACUGCGAGAGCAACAACUCGAGCAGAUGCGAAAGCAGGUCAUAGUGAUCCGGUGGCUCUGAAUGGAAGGGCCAUCGCUCAACGGAUAAAAGGUACUCUGGGGAUAACAGGCUGAUACCGCCCAAGAGUUCAUAUCGACGGCGGUGUUUGGCACCUCGAUGUCGGCUCAUCUCAUCCUGGGGCUGUAGUCGGUCCCAAGGGUAUGGCUGUUCGCCAUUUAAAGAGGUACGUGAGCUGGGUUUAAAACGUCGUGAGACAGUUUGGUCCCUAUCUGCCGUGGGCGUUGGAAGAUUGACGGGGGCUGCUCCUAGUACGAGAGGACCGGAGUGGACGCACCUCUGGUGUACCGGUUGUCACGCCAGUGGCAUUGCCGGGUAGCUAAGUGCGGACGAGAUAACCGCUGAAAGCAUCUAAGCGGGAAACUUUCCUGAAGAUAAGUCUUCCCGGAGGUAAAACCUCCCUGAAGAGUCGUCCGAGACCAGGACGUCGAUAGGUCAGGUGUGUAAGCGCUGUGAGGCGUUGAGCUAACUGAUACUAAUUGCUCGUGAGGCUUGAUCCUAUAACC